rnacentral:rRNA from 1 species
ACGCUGGCGGCAGGCCUAACACAUGCAAGUCGAGCGGUAGAGAGAAGCUUGCUUCUCUUGAGAGCGGCGGACGGGUGAGUAAUGCCUAGGAAUCUGCCUGGUAGUGGGGGAUAACGUUCGGAAACGGACGCUAAUACCGCAUACGUCCUACGGGAGAAAGCAGGGGACCUUCGGGCCUUGCGCUAUCAGAUGAGCCUAGGUCGGAUUAGCUAGUUGGUGAGGUAAUGGCUCACCAAGGCGACGAUCCGUAACUGGUCUGAGAGGAUGAUCAGUCACACUGGAACUGAGACACGGUCCAGACUCCUACGGGAGGCAGCAGUGGGGAAUAUUGGACAAUGGGCGAAAGCCUGAUCCAGCCAUGCCGCGUGUGUGAAGAAGGUCUUCGGAUUGUAAAGCACUUUAAGUUGGGAGGAAGGGUUGCAGAUUAAUACUCUGCAAUUUUGACGUUACCGACAGAAUAAGCACCGGCUAACUCUGUGCCAGCAGCCGCGGUAAUACAGAGGGUGCAAGCGUUAAUCGGAAUUACUGGGCGUAAAGCGCGCGUAGGUGGUUAGUUAAGUUGGAUGUGAAAUCCCCGGGCUCAACCUGGGAACUGCAUUCAAAACUGACUGACUAGAGUAUGGUAGAGGGUGGUGGAAUUUCCUGUGUAGCGGUGAAAUGCGUAGAUAUAGGAAGGAACACCAGUGGCGAAGGCGACCACCUGGACUGAUACUGACACUGAGGUGCGAAAGCGUGGGGAGCAAACAGGAUUAGAU